UACGUAGGGUGCAAGCGUUUAAUCGGAAUUACUGGGCGUAAAGCGUGCGCAGGCGGUUUCGUAAGUCUGUCGUGAAAUCCCCCGGGCUUAACCUGGGAAUGGCGAUGGAGACUGCGAGGCUAGAGUUUGGCAGAGGGGGGGUAGAAUUCCACGUGUAGCAGUGAAAUGCGUAGAGAUGUGGAGGAACACCGAUGGCGAAGGCAGCCCCCUGGGUCAAAACUGACGCUCAUGCACGAAAGCGUGGGGAGCAAACCGG
rnacentral:rRNA from 1 species